rnacentral:rRNA from 1 species
UACGGGGGGGGCAAGCGUUGUUCGGAAUUACUGGGCGUAAAGGGCUCGUAGGCGGCCAACUAAGUCCGACGUGAAAUCCCCAGGCUUAACCUGGGAACUGCAUUGGUGACUGGCAGGCUUUGAGUGUGGCAGAGGGAGGUAGAAUUCCACGUGUAGCAGUGAAAUGCGUAGAGAUGUGGAGGAAUACCGAUGGCGAAGGCAGCCUCCUGGGCCAACACUGACGCUCAUGCACGAAAGCGUGGGGAGCAAACAGG